rfam:Leclercia adecarboxylata strain I1 Leclercia_S84_R1__paired__contig_28, whole genome shotgun sequence.
CCCAGAGGUAUUGAUAGGUGACGUUAACCCGCGGUUAACUGCCAAGCUUUACACCAGCCUGCGUUCUUACGCAGGUUUUUUUU